rnacentral:rRNA from 1 species
UACGUAGGGUGCGAGCGUUAAUCGGAUUUACUGGGCGUAAAGGGUGCGUAGGCGGGCAUGUGCGUCGGAGGUUAAAUACAACGGCUUAACCGUUGAACUGCCUUCGAAACGGCAUGUCUUGAAUGUGGGAGAGGAUGAUGGAAUUCCUGGUGUAGCGGUGAAAUGCGUAGAUAUCAGGAGGAACACCGGUGGCGAAGGCGGUCAUCUGGCCCACUAUUGACGCUGAGGCACGAAAGCGUGGGGAGCAAACAGG